AAGACUGUGCUUCACAGGAUCAUUUCUGUAGGCAAGUUUUCACCACAAGUUUUUUCCGAAAGGAAAAGAUUUCCACCCACGAUGAGGAGACGCAGUGUCCAGCCUGGAGCGUGAAACUUGGUCGAGAUUUGGUCUAUCUGUUUCAGAUAGAUCGCUCUUCCUCUGAAGAUCGGCUCUUUCGCAAGGUUUGGACGCAUUCUGAGUGGU